GGGUGAGAUCAUACCAAUUUUAAUGGACCGGAUCCCAUCGGAACUUCGCAUUUAAGCGCACUUGGGCUAGAGUAUUAUUGGGAUGGGUGACCUCCCAGGAAGUCCUAGUGUUGCACCCU
rnacentral:rRNA from 1 species